AUAUAUACAUUUUUUAUCUGUAUUUUUGAUGGUCCCACUCAAUGUCGGACUCAUUAUUAUUAUUUUUCAUGUCUACUAUCCAAUUCUUAGAUACCCCAACUGGUUCAAAUCUACCCGGCGGUGCAUGGUCAGUGUGGUUAUGACCCUUGGUAUCUUAUUCCAUCCUACUUAGGUUUCUGGUCUGAUCAUAUAUCUAACUCUGGACGCUGCUGAGCACUCUUCAAAGUCAUUAAACACCGUUUCUCGAAGCUCCCGAAGAAGCGACAACGUCGCGAAACAUGUCGAGCUGAUCCCCAUUUUUAUCCAAACUCAUCCUGCACCAUCUCUCGAAGCUACAACGCCACCCAGCGCUUAUUGUGUAUCUCAUACAUCUAGCCCUGUGGCUAUCAGCGGUGUCUUUCAGAAAGGGACAGGAAUUGAGUUAUUUGUGUAUCCCAUUGUAUUUUAUGUUUUUCUUCCUUUUUUCAUUAUUGAAUCGAGCAAUUGUUCAGUGUUUUUUUGUGCUUAUGUACUGUUCAAAUUAAAAUUAUUUAUACUUUUUUAAAA